rnacentral:rRNA from 1 species
UACGAAGGGGGCUAGCGUUGCUCGGAAUCACUGGGCGUAAAGCGCACGUAGGCGGCUUUUUAAGUCAGAGGUGAAACCCUGGAGCUCAACUCCAGAACUGCCUUUGAUACUGGAGAGCUUGAGUCCGGGAGAGGUGAGUGGAACUGCGAGUGUAGAGGUGAAAUUCGUAGAUAUUCGCAAGAACACCAGUGGCGAAGGCGGCUCACUGGCCCGGUACUGACGCUGAGGUGCGAAAGCGUGGGGAGCAAACAGG